UACGGCUAGGCGCAGGAACAAGCAGAUGCCGAGGAAGUGCGGGCACGCGCUGCUGGCCUUAGCAGGUGUAGGAACCGUGCGAGGAAGGUUCAGCCGCGCCAACGCAUGUGUGCGUGGUCGUUGGGUUAGCCAAGAUCUGCAUUCUGCGACUUCGUCUUCACCAUGGACACAAGCAAGGACUGAUUGGUGGUUCUUGGUAGCGGUGCCGAGCAUCGGCAGAUCGAAGUGGUCGAGGUCACGGUUAAUCCACCCGGACGAGACAUGCAUCUUGGAGCUAGCGCAGAGGGGGGAAGAAGCAGGUUGGUAUGGCCCGGAACUUUCACGCAAAGAAAACACACACAGGGCAGGAACAUGACUACUCUUCCCCUUCCAAGUUUCUGAUCGAUCGAACUCUUUGGUGACCAGAAAAUGAGAAAAAGGCAGGCCGUCGAUGUACAGACCAUAGGUGCUCGGACGCACGGCCGGCAUCAUGGUCGCCAUAACUCACAACCCAUGAGGUGGUGACCAAGCAAGAAAGGAAGGAACUUUCGCGCAAAGAAAACACACACAGGGCAGGAACAUGCCUACUCUCGCCCUUCCAUGUUUCUGAUCGAUCGAACUCUUCGGUGACCAGAAAAUGAGAAAAGGGCAGGUCGUCGAUGUACAGACCACAGGCGCUCGGACGCACGGCCGGCAUCAUGGUCGUCAUAGCUCAUAACCCAUGAGGGGGUGACGAAGCAAGAAAGGAAGAUCCCAUGAAUGUCAUUUUGCACCGAAGGUUUGUAACGAUUAGGGAAUGUUUUCUUGCUCUGAUGUAUCAAGUUGCCAUGGGGGUGAUCUAGAGGUGAAAGCUAGCAAGCCAUCUCCUGAUAUUUUCCUUACUAGCAAGCUUAAUGCGGAACACUUAUAUUUCAGUACUUGUUUGUUUAAUUGUGUUAUUUAUCUGCAGGUCUCUUCCUUGUCCAAAGUAUGUCGUACCUAAUCAAGACAUGUUCAUUUAAUUUACCCAUCAUGUAAAUGACACAACAUGAUUCACUUGUGUAUAGUGUAAAAAUAUAUUUAUUUAUGGCACACAGGUGUUCAAAUUAUAGUUGUGAAACGUGUAUAGCAUAAAAGUAUAAUUAUUAAGGGAAGUGACGUCACAGUGGUCGUGUCUGGUCUUCUCCGAGUCUCUGCUUGUGGUUUGUGUUCUUUAGAUCUGUUCAUGCCCUGAUAUUGCUAUCUGAUUUCAUCUUCUCUUGACAAAUUAGGGCUUUGCUUUUGUUUGCACCAAUUCGAGAUAAUGGUCAUGACAUGCGCGAGCUAAGACAACAAGGUCAAGCCCAGGCUUAGGCCUGAUGAUGAACACAAUUAGAUGUGGGUAGUCCCUUGCAUCCUCAUGUUAGAACUACUUUUUUUACGCUCUUGCUGCUGCAGAUUAGCUACCUACUUAC